rnacentral:rRNA from 1 species
UACGGAGGGGGCGAGCGUUAUUCGGAAUUAUUGGGCGUAAAGGGCGCGUAGGCGGCCUUGUAAGUCAAAGGUGAAAUCCCUCGGCUCAACUGAGGAACUGCCUUUGAAACUGCAAGGCUUGAGGCCGGGAGGGGGUAGCGGAAUUCCCAAUGUAGCGGUGAAAUGCGUAGAUAUUGGGAAGAACACCGGUGGCGAAGGCGGCGAGCUGGUCCAUUACUGACGCUGAGGCGCGACAGCGUGGGGAGCAAACAGG